rnacentral:rRNA from 1 species
AUUGAACGCUGGCGGCAGGCCUAACACAUGCAAGUCGAGCGAGCGGCGGACGGGUGUGUAAUAUAUGUGGACUGCCCGCGAGAGGGGGAUAACUACUGUAAACGGUGGCUAAUACCGCAUACUGUCAUAACCCAUAUGGGAUUAGCUAGUAGGUAAGGUAAUGGCUUACAUACGCGACGAACCCUAGCUGGUCUGAGAGGAUGAUCAGCCACACUGGGACUGAGAACCGGCCCAGACUCCUACGGAGGCAACAUUGGGGAAUAUUGCACAAUGGGCGCAAGCCUGAUGCAGCCAUGCCGCGUGUAUGAAGAAGGCCUUUGGGUUGUAAAGUACUUUCAGUCGGGAGGCGUUACCGACAGAAGAAGCACCGGCUAACUCCGUGCCAGCAGCCGCGGUAAUUC